rnacentral:rRNA from 1 species
GGACGCAUCACUGGUGUUCGGGUUGUCAUGCCAAUGGCACUGCCCGGUAGCUAAAUGCGGAAGAGAUAAGUGCUGAAAGCAUCUAAGCACGAAACUUGCCCCGAGAUGAGUUCUCCCUGAGACUUAGAGUCUCCUGAAGGAACGUUGAAGACGACGACGUUGAUAGGCCGGGUGUGUAAGCGCAGCGAUGCGUUGAGCUAACCGGUACUAAUGAACCGUGAGGCUUAACCUU